CCCCCAGCAGCCUUGCCAGAAAACCUGGAUUUUUGCCAGGUGCUUUGUGUGCAUCAUCUCAUUUAAUUCUCAUGUAAACCUGCAAGGUAGUGGUAUUAUUCCCGUUGUACAAAACUGUGCUAUGAGCUUACAUGGAUGGUGUGGAAGAGCUGGCUUUCAAGCAGUUAUGCUAUGUGACUUCCCUAGUAAUAAAGUUUAUCUAUAGAUUGUUUUCUUUCUUUCUUUCUUUCUUUCUUUCUUUCUUUCUUUCUUUCUUUCUUUCUUUCUUUCUUUCUUUCUUUCUUUCUUUCUUUCUUUCAUGUUUAUUUUUGAGAGAGAGAGAGACAGAGCACAAGUGGGGGAGGGACAGAGAGCAAGAAAGACACAGAAUCCGAAGCAGGCCCCAGGCUGUGAGCUGUCAGCACAGUACCUGACGUGGGGCUGGAACUCAUGAGCCAUGAGAUCAUGACCUGAGCCGAAGUUGGAUGCUCAACCAACUGAGCCAUCCAGACGUCCCUUCUUUUUUUUUCUUAAGUUUAUUUAUUUACUUAGAUUGAGAGAGAGAGAGAGAGAGAGAGAGAGAGCUGAGGAGGGGCAGAGAGACAGAGGGAGGGAAAGAAUACCAAGCAACAUACACCAAGUGUGGAGCCUGACACAGGGCCGGAACUCACGAACCUUGAGAUCAUGCCCUGAACUGAAAUCUAGAGUCAGGUACUUAACCGACUGAGCCACCCAGGUGCCCCUAAUAGAUGGUUUCUUUAAUCAGAUUGUUUCUCUAAUAUUUAGGAAUUUAUUGUUUUAAUUAUAGAUGUAUAUAUGUAUAAAUAUAUACAUAUAUAUACACAUAUUGCUUCCAACAAUAUAUAUAUGUACAACUUGAUGUUGAAAGGUUAAAAAUAAGUUUGCAACACUUAAAAACCUCUCUAGAGUAUACAGUUUACUAAUGGGGUUUUCCAUGUUUCUUGGCUGUGAAUUUUUUUAAACAGUUAACUUUCUUUUUUUUUAAAACAGUUCAAUUUACCCAAUUUCUGUCUUGAUUCCAGUUAAUCAGAAUUUACAAGGAAAUACAUAUAUGUAAUCCAGUCUCUAAGUUUUAAGAUUUUAUGGUUGGAUGAAAUUUUAAAUGGAAAGCAUCCAUAUGAAAAUGUGUCUUGUUAUUUAUUCCUGUUUGAGCAAAGCAAGUUUUUUUCCCCUUAUUGAAGAUCUCCUUUGAGGACAGGAAUGAUAUUUGAAUAUUGUCUUGUUUUUAUGUUCUGUUAACAUUUAUAUUAAAUUUGAAUAUCCUGCUUUAUAGAUAUCGGACUAACGAAAGUUACUGUUUAGUUUCAAAUGCAUCUGUUUUUGUUGGGAAAAAAGUCCAGACACAAAUUGACACCUAAUGAAACAGACUAAAUCAUCACUUUGUUGUUUGGUAAUAGAAAUGCAAAUGGAAUAUGUAAAUUUUAUAGUAUCAUGCCUUUAAAAGAAUUUUCUGUGCUUCGGUUCCCUGGCAGACAAUUUGAGGCCUAGCUCCAUGUUGUGAUGCUGAUACAACAGAACACUGUGUACAUACAUAUGUGCCCUCCUCUGGCACAGAAGAAAUGCUUUCCUUGUGUAGACAGAGUGCUAAUUAAAGGAUUUUGAACAUACUGAUUAAAAGAGACCACGGUAACAAAGCUGCUGAGUUAUUUCUGUUCUCUUACAAAAGUCUCUGCCAUCUCCUGUGACCUUUUUGGGCCUUGUGCAGUGGGGCAUGCAAUUCAUUCUGGACUGGAGAGGAUGGGAAGGGGAGGGGAGGAGGGAAGGGAAUUUUGGCUCAACUGUGCUGCUAGGCUGUUGGCCUUCAUUGUAGUUAUUUUUAACCCCUUGUGUGGUUCAGUUUAAACAUGCCUAGUAGUACUGCCUAAUAAAGAUGUGUGCCUAAUAACUAAUUUAUAUUGUAGUGAGAUUAGUAAUGUUAUACCUCAUCUUACUUAGUUCUCUGGUUGUAUUCUGCUUUAAUUAUGUCAAAUUAUUGCGAUAUAUUUCUGUGGUCACUGGGUUGUUUAAUGAAUAGUAUCAAGAAGUAAUUAAAACUUGAAAGCAUGCCUUGAAACAUAUAAUUUAAUGAUUCUCUUAUUUUAAUAGUAUAUAUGAAAUUCUUAGCAAGGUCUGGCACGUAGUACUCUUUCGGUUGUUACUUUUUACAAUAAUAUUAUAAAAUUAAAAGAAAAAAAUGUUUAGAGACUUGAAAUAUCAAAUCCCCCAUAAUUGUGGGUAAUGUAGGAGUUAUGUAUAUAUUUUUUACUUAGAGUUUAUUAGAAUUUGAAAAGAAAAAAAGAAUCACAAGUGUGUGCUUAGCUAGGAACCUGCAUGUUUAUGUUUAGAGUUCAAAAGUAGACAGUUUUCCUCUGGUUAGAUGUUGGCUGUGUUGAACUCCACAGGGCUAUUUAUGGUCCCCUAUAACAUUGGGGCUCUGUGACAGCAGAUGUAUUUGUGACAAAUAGGCCAUUGGCUGGGACUUCAACAUUCUGUUUUGAGAUUUUGUUGUUACUAGCAUAUGAAUAUGCUGAAUAUGACUUUGUAUAUUAAAGCGUGCACAUUAUAUAAUUUUAACAUUUCACACAAAUUUGCCCAUUAUCUAUAUUGUAUGAUUUUUGCAUUCUUUUUUAGUAGGUGGUUUUCUAAGACAAGAUUGGUAAUUCCUGCAGACUUUUAAAAAGAUCUUCAGAUUGCUGUAACUGUAUAAUCAUAUGUCAUUGUCUUCAGUUUCCUAUUUUUAAAAUGGAGUGCUGGCUACAGGACUUUUUAUGACCCUGUAUUUAUGAAAUUGCCUUCAAGCCACGGAAUGUGGGGACGGGUUUCAUUGUAGCGGUGUGGGUUAUUGGUCUUUGCCAGUAUAUUUUAUAAGAAGAAAUAGGAGACUUCUUGCACAAUUCAAGGCCGUAUCUUGGCAAAUUGAUGUUCCUCAUGAUGGAAUUACAGGAAGGAUGAUAUAUUUUAAGUAUGGCAUCCUGAAGUUGCAGUACUCUGCUGUGUGUUGCUUUCUGAUUUAUGAUGUUGGAGUUUUUUCCUUAAAUGUCAGUAUUUGGGUUUCCUGAAGAUGAUCUCCCAGUUCUCCAUAAACAUAUCUACAUUGUUUCAUUAGCAGUGCAAAGUGAAGACGAAGACUUUUCUUGGCCAUUGCUUGACCCUGAGCAAAGCUGUGAAUAUAGUUGAGUGAUUCUGCAGACAGACCAGCUGCAGAGUUUCCCUCCUAGAGGGGGACAGAAAGAGACUUUCAGUCCUCUCAGGCUGAAAUGGGAGAACCAUCCUACCUUGAAUAAAUGGGCCCAUUGUUAAUUUUAA